rnacentral:rRNA from 1 species
GACGAACGCUGGCGGCGUGCUUAACACAUGCAAGUCGAACGGAAAGGCCCUGCUUUUGUGGGGUGCUCGAGUGGCGAACGGGUGAGUAACACGUGAGUAACCUGCCCUUGACUUUGGGAUAACUUCAGGAAACUGGGGCUAAUACCGGAUAGGAGCUCCUGCUGCAUGGUGGGGGUUGGAAAGUUUCGGCGGUUGGGGAUGGACUCGCGGCUUAUCAGCUUGUUGGUGGGGUAGUGGCUUACCAAGGCUUUGACGGGUAGCCGGCAUGAGAGGGUGACCGGCCACAAUGGGACUGAGAUACGGACCAGACUCGUACGGGAGGCAGCAGGGGGGAGUAUUGCACAGUGGGCGGAAGCCUGAUGCAGCAACGCCGCGUGCGGGAUGACGGCCUUCGGGUUGUAAACCGCUUUCGCCUGUGACGAAGCGUGAGUGACGGUAAUGGGUAAAGAAGCACCGGCUAACUACGUG